rnacentral:rRNA from 1 species
CCUACGGGAGGCUGCAGUGAGGAAUAUUGGUCAAUGGACGCAAGUCUGAACCAGCCAUGCCGCGUGCAGGAUGACGGCUCUAUGAGUUGUAAACUGCUUUUGUACGAGGGUAAACCCCGAUACGUGUAUCGGGUUGAAAGUAUCGUACGAAUAAGGAUCGCCUAACUCCGGGCCAGCAGCCGCGGUAAUACGGAGGAUCAGAGCGUUAUCCGGAUUUAUUGGGUUUAAAGGGUGCGUAGGCGGUUGGAAAAGUUAGAGGUGAAAGGUCGGGGUGCAACCCCGGAACUGCCUCUAAUACUGUUGGACUAGAGAAUAGUUGCGGUAGGCGGAAUGUAUGGUGUAGCGGUGAAAUGCUUAGAGAUCAUACAGAACACCGAUUGCGAAGGCAGCUUACCAAACUAUAUCUGACGUUGAGGCACGAAAGCGUGGGUAGCAAACAGGAUUAGAUACCCGGGUAGUC